UAAUACGUAGGGUGCGAGCGUUGUCCGGAUUUAUUGGGCGUAAAGAGCUCGUAGGCGGUUUGUCGCGUCGGCCGUGAAAUCUCCACGCUUAACGUGGAGCGUGCGGUCGAUACGGGCAGACUUGAGUUCGGUAGGGGAGACUGGAAUUCCUGGUGUAGCGGUGAAAUGCGCAGAUAUCAGGAGGAACACCGGUGGCGAAGGCGGGUCUCUGGGCCGAUACUGACGCUGAGGAGCGAAAGCGUGGGGAGCGAACAGGAUUAGAUACCCUGGUAGUCCACGCUGUAAACGUUGGGCGCUAGGUGUGGGCGACAUCCACGUUGUCCGUGCCGUAGCUAACGCAUUAAGCGCCCCGCCUGGGGAGUACGGCCGCAAGGCUAAAACUCAAAGGAAUUGACGG
rnacentral:rRNA from 1 species